rnacentral:tRNA from 1 species
UCUCAGGUGGCUCAGAUGGUAAAGAAUCUGUCUGCAAUGCAGGAGACCCAGGUUCAAUCCCUGGCUUGGGAA